rnacentral:rRNA from 1 species
UACGUAGGGGGCAAGCGUUGUCCGGAAUCAUUGGGCGUAAAGAGCGUGUAGGCAGCCCGGUAAGUCCGCUGUGAAAGUCCAGGGCUCAACCCUGGGAUGCCGGUGGAUACUGUCGGGCUCGAGUCCGGAAGAGGAGUGUGGAAUUCCUGGUGUAGCGGUGAAAUGCGCAGAUAUCAGGAGGAACACCAACGGCGAAGGCAGCACUCUGGGACGUGACUGACGCUGAGACGCGAAAGCGUGGGGAGCAAACAGG